AUACGUAGGGGGCGAGCGUUGUCCGGAAUGAUUGGGCGUAAAGGGCGCGUAGGCGGCCCGGUAAGUCUGGAGUGAAAGUCCUGCUUUUAAGGUGGGAAUUGCUUUGGAUACUGUCGGGCUUGAGUGCCGGAGAGGUAAGUGGAAUUCCCAGUGUAGCGGUGAAAUGCGUAGAGAUUGGGAGGAACACCAGUGGCGAAGGCGACUUACUGGACUGUAACUGACGCUGAGGCGCGAAAGUGUGGGGAGCAAACAGGAUUAGAUACCCUGGUAGUCCACACUGUAAACGAUGAAUGCUAGGUGUAGGGGGUAUCGACCCCUUCUGUGCCGCAGUUAACACAAUAAGCAUUCCGCCUGGGGAGUGCGGCCGCAAGGUUGAAACUCAAAUGAAUUGGCGGGG
rnacentral:rRNA from 1 species